rnacentral:rRNA from 1 species
CCUACGGGAGGCAGCAGUGGGGAAUAUUGCACAAUGGGGGAAACCCUGAUGCAGCGACGCCGCGUGAAGGAAGAAGGCUUUCGGAUCGUAAACUUCUAUCAGCAGGGAAGAAGGAAGAGACAGUAUCAGACUAAGAAGCCCCGGCUAACUACGUGACAGCAGCCGCGGUAACACGUAGGGGGCACGCGGUCUGCGGAAUCACGGGGUGAAAAGGGGGCGGAGGCGGUAGGGGAAGGGAGGUGUGAAAGCCCGGCGCUAAAACCCGGGAUUGCAUUUGAAACUGUCGUACUAGAGUGCAGGAGAGGAGAGCGGAAUUCCUAGUGUAGCGGUGAAAUGCGUAGAUAUUAGGAAGAACACCAGUGGCGAAGGCGGCUUUCUGGACUGUAACUGACGCUGAGGCACGAAAGCGUGGGGAGCGAACAGGAUUAGAUACCCUUGUAGUC